AGAGUGAACGCUGGCGGCAGGCCUAAUACAUGCAAGUCGAACGGCAGCACGGCAGAGCUUGCUCUGUGGGUGGCGAGUGGCGGACGGGUGAGGAAUACAUGGGAAUCUGCCCAGUCGUGGGGGAUAACGUAGGGAAACUUACGCUAAUACCGCAUGCGCCCGUUCGGGGGAAAGCCGGGGACCUUCGGGCCUGGCGCGAUUGGAUGAGCCCAUGUCGAUUAGCUAGUUGGCGGGUAACGCCCACAAGGCGACGAUCCGUAGCUGGUCUGAGAGGAUGAUCAGCCACACUGGGACUGGAGACACGGCCCAGACCUCCGACGGGAGCAGCAGGUAGGGAAUAGUGGACUAAGUCGGGGACAAAGCCUAGA
rnacentral:rRNA from 1 species